UACGUAGGGGGCAAGCGUUGUCCGGAUUUAUUGGGCGUAAAGAGCGUGUAGGCGGCUGGGUAGGUCCGUUGUGAAAACUCGAGGCUCAACCUCGAGACGCCGAUGGAAACCCCCCAGCUAGAGUCCGGAAGAGGAGAGUGGAAUUCCUGGUGUAGCGGUGAAAUGCGUAGAUAUCUGGAGGAACACCGGUGGCGAAGGCGGCAUCCUGGACCGAUACUGACGCUGAGGAGCGAAAGCCAGGGGAGCAAACGGG
rnacentral:rRNA from 1 species